UACGUAGGGGCCUAGCGUUGUCCGGAAUUAUUGGGCGUAAAGGGCUCGUAGGCGGUUUGUCGCGUCGGGUGUGAAAUCCACUGGCUUAACUGGUGGCUUGCUUUCGAUACGGGCAGACUGGAGGUAUGCAGGGGAGAACGGAAUUCCUGGUGUAGCGGUGAAAUGCGCAGAUAUCAGGAGGAACACCGGUGGCGAAGGCGGUUCUCUGGGCAUGUCCUGACGCUGAGGAGCGAAAGUGUGGGGAGCGAACAGG
rnacentral:rRNA from 1 species